GAUGAACGCUAGCGGCAGGCCUAAUACAUGCAAGCCGAACGGUAAUUCUGAUAGCAAUAUUGGAACUAGAGUGGCGUAAGGGUGCGUAACACGUAUGCAAUCUACCCGCAACAGGAGGAUAGCUCCCCGAAAGGGGAAUUAACCCUCCAUGAGAUCACACGAGGGCAUCCGAGAGUGAUUAAAUUUGAGGAGGUUGUGGAUGAGCAUGCGACUGAUAGCUAGUUGGCAGUGUAACGGACUACCAAGGCGAUGAUCAGUAGGGGAACUGAGAGGUUGAUCCCCCACACUGGCACUGAGAUACGGGCCAGACUCCUACGGGAGGCAGCAGUAAGGGAAUAUUGGUCAAUGGGUGAGAGCCUGAACCAGCCAUGCCGCGUGCAGGAAGAAGGCCUUUCUGGGUUGUAAACUG
rnacentral:rRNA from 1 species